AGAGUUUGAUCCUGGCUCAGGAUGAACGCUGGCGGCGUGCUUAACACAUGCAAGUCGAACGGGAAUGUUUCGCUGAUGCGAUUUCGGUCAAAUCUUGAAGCAUUUUAGUGGCGGACGGGUGAGUAACGCGUGGGUAACCUGCCCUGUACAGGGGGACAACAGUUGGAAACGACUGCUAAUACCGCAUAAGCGCACAGCUUCGCAUGAAGCAGUGUGAAAAACUCCGGUGGUACAGGAUGGACCCGCGUCUGAUUAGAUAGUUGGUGAGGUAACGGCCCACCAAGUCAACGAUCAGUAGCCGGCCUGAGAGGGUGAACGGCCACAUUGGGACUGAGACACGGCCCAAACUCCUACGGGAGGCAGCAGUGGGGAAUAUUGCACAAUGGGGGAAACCCUGAUGCAGCGACGCCGCGUGAGUGAAGAAGUAUUUCGGUAUGUAAAGCUCUAUCAGCAGGGAAGAAAACAAUGACGGUACCUGACUAAGAAGCCCCGGCUAACUACGUGCCAGCAGCCGCGGUAAUACGUAGGGGGCAAGCGUUAUCCGGAUUUACUGGGUGUAAAGGGAGCGUAGACGGUAGACCAAGUCUGAAGUGAAAGCCCGGGGCUCAACCCCGGAACUGCUUUGGAAACUGGUAAACUAGAGUGCA
rnacentral:rRNA from 1 species